rnacentral:rRNA from 1 species
AGGACGAACGCUGGCGGCGUGCUUAACACAUGCAAGUCGAGCGGAAAGGCCCUUCGGGGUACUCGAGCGGCGAACGGGUGAGUAACACGUGAGCAACCUGCCCUUAGCUUCGGGAUAGCUCCGGGAAACCGGAAUUAAUACCGGAUAUGACUAUGGCCGACAUCAGCCAUGGUGGAAAGUUUUUCGGCUAGGGAUGGACUCGCGGCCUAUCAGCUAGUUGGUGAGGUAACGGCUCACCAAGGCGACGACGGGUAGCCGGCCUGAGAGGGCGACCGGCCACACUGGGACUGAGACACGGCCCAGACUCCUACGGGAGGCAGCAGUGGGGAAUAUUGCGCAAUGGGCGAAAGCCUGACGCAGCGACGCCGCGUGGGGAUGAAUGCCUUCGGGUUGUAACCCCUUUCAGCAGGGACGAAGCGAAGUGACGGUACCUGCAGAAGAAGCGCCGGCUAACUACGCGCCAGCAGCCGC